AUUUAAAUAGUUUAAAAAAAACAUUGAUUUGUGGAGUCAAAGUUGUACAAUAGUAUUUUAAAUA
rnacentral:tRNA from 1 species